rnacentral:rRNA from 1 species
UACGAAGGGGGCUAGCGUUGUUCGGAUUUACUGGGCGUAAAGCGCACGUAGGCGGAUCGUUAAGUCGGGGGUGAAAUCCUGGAGCUCAACUCCAGAACUGCCUUCGAUACUGGCGAUCUUGAGUCCGGAAGAGGUGAGUGGAACUCCUAGUGUAGAGGUGGAAUUCGUAGAUAUUAGGAAGAACACCAGUGGCGAAGGCGGCUCAGCUGGUCCGGUACUGACGCUGAGGUGCGAAAGCGUGGGGAGCAAACAGG